rnacentral:rRNA from 1 species
AACGGUCACAUUGGAACUGAGACACGGUCCAAAACUCCUACGGGAGGCAGCAGUGGGGAAUAUUGCACAAUGGGGAAACCCUGAUGCAGCGACGCCGCGUGAGCGAUGAAGGUUUUCGAAUCGUAAAGCUCUGUCCUUGGAGAAGAUAAUGACGGUAUCCAAGGAGGAAGCACCGGCUAAAUACGUGCCAGCAGCCGCGGUAAUACGUAUGGUGCGAGCGUUGUCCGGAAUUAUUGGGCGUAAAGGGUACGUAGGCGGUUUAUCAAGUCAGAUGUUAAAGCGUGGGGCUCAACCCCAUAAAGCAUUUGAAACUGAUAAACUUGAGUAGUGGAGAGGAAAAGUGGAAUUCCUAGUGUAGCGGUGAAAUGCGUAGAUAUUAGGAGGAAUACCAGUUGCGAAGGC